CUACGGGGGGCAGCAGUGGGGAAUCUUGGACAAUGGGCGCAAGCCUGAUCCAGCCAUGCCGCGUGAGUGAAGAAGGCCUUAGGGUCGUAAAGCUCUUUCGCCAGAGAUGAUAAUGACAGUAUCUGGUAAAGAAACCCCGGCUAACUCCGUGCCAGCAGCCGCGGUAAUACGGAGGGGGUUAGCGUUGUUCGGAAUUACUGGGCGUAAAGCGCGCGUAGGCGGAUUAGUCAGUCAGAGGUGAAAUCCCAGGGCUCAACCCUGGAACUGCCUUUGAUACUGCUAGUCUUGAGUUCGAGAGAGGUGAGUGGAAUUCCGAGUGUAGAGGUGAAAUUCGUAGAUAUUCGGAGGAACACCAGUGGCGAAGGCGACUCACUGGCUCGAUACUGACGCUGAGGUGCGAAAGUGUGGGGAGCAAACAGGAUUAGAUACCCUGGUAGUC
rnacentral:rRNA from 1 species